CGGUAAACAAAGGGAAGCGAGAGUGCGAGCUUAAGCGAACCCCAAAAAUAACGCCUCAGUUCGGAUUGCAGCCUGCAACUCGGCUGCAUGAAGUUGGAAUCGCUAGUAAUCGCGGAUCAGAAUGCCGCGGUGAAUACGUUCCCGGGUCUUGUACACACCGCCCGUCACACCAUGGGAGUCGGGAAUGCCCGAAGUCGGUGACCUAACCGAAAGGGAGGAGCCGCCGAAGGCAGGCCUGGUAACUGGGGUGAAGUCGUAACAAGGUAUC
rnacentral:rRNA from 1 species